CAGUAGCCGCGGUAAUACGAAGGGGGCUAGCGUUGCUCGGAAUGACUGGGCGUAAAGGGCGCGUAGGCGGUUCGGAUAGUUAGAUGUGAAAUUCCCGGGCUUAACCUGGGGACUGCAUUUGAUACUUCCGGGCUUGAGUGUGGAAGAGGGUCGUGGAAUUCCCAGUGUAGAGGUGAAAUUCGUAGAUAUUGGGAAGAGCACCGGUGGCGAAGGCGGCGACCUGGUCCAUAACUGACGCUGAGGCGCGAAAGCGUGGGGAGCAAACAGGAUUAGAUACCCCCGUAGUCCCUGUCUCUUAUAC
rnacentral:rRNA from 1 species